UCCCAGUUCGGAUUGUAGUCUGCAACCCGACUACAUGAAGCUGGAAUCGCUAGUAAUCGCGGAUCAGAAUGCCGCGGUGAAUACGUUCCCGGGUCUUGUACACACCGCCCGUCACACCAUGGGAGCCGGUAAUACCCGAAGUCAGUAGUCCAACCUCGUGAGGACGCUGCCGAAGGUAGGAUUGGCGACUGGGGUGAAGUCGUAACAAGGUAAC
rnacentral:rRNA from 1 species